rnacentral:rRNA from 1 species
AUUGAACGCUGGCGGCAUGCUUUACACAUGCAAGUCGGACGAGUGGCAAACGGGUGAGUAACAUAGCGAAACGUACCGAGUAAUGGGGGAUAACUAAUCGAAAGAUUCGCUAAUACCGCAUAUUAUUCGAGCGGCCGAUAUCUGAUUAGCUGGUUGGUGGGGUAAAGGCCUACCAAGGCGACGAUCAGUAGCGGGUCUGAGAGGAUGCUCCGCCACACUGGGAUUGAGACACGGCACAGACGCAUACGGGAGGCAGCAGUGGGGAAUGUUGGGCAAUGGGCGCAAGCCUGAGCCAGCCAUGCCGCGUGUCGGAAGAAGGCCUUCGGGUUGUAAAGGACUUUUGUCAGGGAAGCGGUACCUAAAGAAUAAGCACCGGCUAACUACGUGCCAGCAGCCGCGGUAAUAC